rnacentral:lncRNA from 1 species
CCAGCUGACCUGCACGUGUGGUCAGCCAUGCAAACAGGAGGGUGUGUAGAUUGGAUUGCUAGUAUUCUAGAUACUGAAGGAACGACUAAGGGUUAAUUUAGAAAUGAGCGAUUGGAACUAAAAGGCCAGAAGAUCGAACAGCUAUGAGAACUGAUUGUUUCAAUUUGUAGAGUAGAGAGAUCCAACGGUCCAGAUUUCGCUCAGAUAAAAGGUAUGAAAUUACUGUUAGUGAGGCUUGAUCCUCAGGUCCUUCUGUUGCCAUGCACGCAAAGAUUGGACGGCUAUGAAAUUUAGGGGUGAGUAUGAAUAGAGUGGGCCGCUACCCCCUGUCAAGCAGAAGCAUGACGGAGAAGAGAGCAGAGCAGUCGAG